UCGCCUGACCUGCGUGCCCCGCUGGCCGCGCCGGGCUGCCCCGAAGGAUGUCCGCCCAGUCCAAGGGGACCGCAUCCUCCUCCUCCUCGCCGUCCGAGGGGCCGCCGGCCGCCUCCAAAGCCAAGGUGAAGGAGCAGAUCAAGAUCAUCGUGGAGGAUUUGGAAUUAGUCCUGGGGGACCUGAAAGAUGUCGCCAAGGAACUUAAGGAGGUGGUUGACCAGAUUGACACACUGACAUGUGAUCUGCAGCUGGAGGAUGAGAUGACGGACAGUUCCAAAACAGACACUCUGAACAGCAGUUCCAGCAGCACAACAGCCUCCAGCUUGGAGAAGGUCAAGGUGCGGGGCAGCGCACCCCUCAUCAAGCCCCCUGCGCACCCCUCAGCCAUCCUCACCGUGCUGCGGAAGCCAAACCCGCCCCCUCCUCCCCCUCGGCUGACUCCUGUCAAGUGUGAUGAGCCUCCCCGAAUGUCUCCUUUGGCCAACCCAGUCAAGACCAAUGGCACGCUGCUGCGGAACGGGGGCCUGCCCAUGGGGCCUGGCCGCAUCCCCAAUGGAGAUAUGUGCUGCAUAGCCAAUGCCAACCUGGAGAAGGUCGUGAUGCAGCCCCUGGUGCACAGGGCUGAGAAAGAGCGGUGUGCUCAGCCGGGAGCCAGGGAGCGGGUACGGUUCAGUGAAAAGGUGCAGUACCACGGCUACUGCCCCGACUGUGACGUUCGAUAUAACAUCAAAAACAGGGAGGUGCACUUGCACGGCGAGUCAGCCCGGGCUGCGGGGAAGCUGCCACACCAGUGCCCUCCUCUGCCACCUCCUCCACCUCCGUUGCCUCCAUUUCUUCUGGAAAAUGGAGGGUUGGGGAUAAGUCCCAGUAACAGCUUUCCUCCUCCAAGACCUGCAACUGUGCCUCCACAAACUGCGCCAAAACCCCAGAAGACCAUCUUGAGGAAAUCAACCACUACAACAGUGUGAAGUAUGCCCCUUGUAAUAACUCUUUGUUUUUUCGUAUAUUUAAACAUAAAUAGGUAAUGAGCACUUUCUACUUGAGCAAUAAAAAGACCCAAUGUAUUACAUCCUGUGUCCAGUGAAGUGGCAUAAAAAUCACAUGCACCUUCAGGCUUGAAGGAAUAUCUAUAUUUGGAGGCACGUCAAUUAAUUUGCAUAUCAGAUUCAUCAUUAUGACUUCUUGCAGGCCAGAUCUGAGAAGUAACCAGGAAACCUGGCCCUUAGUGGAGAAUGGAAAAACCCUUGAAGUCAGAGCACAACUGAUCACUAGUGUAAUCUGCAUUGAAUCAUCUUUCUCAGAUCUGACAGCUACAAGCUGAGUCCUGGCAAAAACCACAGCCUUAAAUUCCAUGUAGUGGGAAAGAAGGAUUAGAGAACUCAAUGUCUUGCCCCGUUGCAGAAAUUGCUGUCUCCAAGUCCAACACCUGAGUUCUGUGCUGAGCAACCAGAGUACUAAACAACGAAUUUUUUAUGGGAACAGCCAGCAUCAACAAAUAUUUCAAUAUGUAGCCAAAAGGAGAAACGAAGCACUUACAUAAUUUCAGAAAAUGGUCCAUUUAUUGUAACAGAGGAAUGUUACUGUCUGUGGGGAAGAAGACCUUUGUCAUCCCUUGUAUAUAUUGAAAGCCAUACAGGAACAGGGAUAAGUGAAGUUCAGUCACUUAAAAGGAUGCUGUCUCCUGUCCUUCACCCAACUUUGAGGAAGUUCUGCUCUUAGAGAUUGCAUCUCAAUGCACUUCUAUUAUUUGCACUGUCACUUCCAUUCAGGGUAAUGAUGUGUGCCACCAUUUGCACAGACGGCCCCAGGAGAUUUUAGGCCACAACAAGCUAUACUUUGCCAGGGCUCCAAAAGGAAUUAAAAGGUUAGAACUGAAGAAAGACGUUUAUGCUCUCUUUCACUAUGGGGAUCUCUUCACAGAAAGGACUAUGGUCCUUUCUUAGGAUGAAAUAAAUACAUGCAUAUACAUACAUAUAUACAUAUGUAUAUAUAUGAAAAAGCAGCAACAUGAUAAGGUGUAUUUAAAAAGGGGAUAUAAUCUUUUUUAAUAGCAUCCUUUUUUUUAAUCAUAUUAGCAGCCGAGAAAUACAGUCUAUUGAAUUAUACAUCAAAAUUAUUCCUAUUGAACGUUGACAUUUAGUCCCAGUUACUGCUAAAGAAGUAAUUUGUAAUAUGUACUUGGCAUAAAAUUUUUCUAGCCAUUUGUCUAUAUUUCAUGAAAAAAUCGAACAGACAAGCAACAUUUUCAGUUUAUUUUUCUAAAUAAAUGUGUUGUUUGUAUUAUUUGCAGUCACUCAUUUUGGCUGGUUUUCAUUAUCUCCAAAAGUGAUUUAAAGACAGAACCAAAACACAGGGAUUGUUGUUCUUGUUAAGCUGUAAUGAUUUGCUGAAUGAAAGCUUUAAUAUAAAUACUGUAAUUUGUAAAAUGAUGAAGUAUAUUUAUAUAGGCAAAUAUGUAUGGAAAACAAAAGGAGGUAUUUUAACUCUUAAUUUCAGAACAUAGUUUAUUUUAAUAUCCACAGGAAGAAAUUAAAUAUAUAAUGAGAUAGGGUUUUUAUUAUCAGUGAGUUUUAGUAAGUGAAAAUUUGGAUGUUUAAGAAUGAAAUGAAUGUAGUCAAAUAAUGGUGGUUUCCCAAAUUAUACAGAGACCUUUUGCCAACUGUCUCAUUUUAUUCAAAGACUGAUUUAGUAAUUUGUGGGGUUGGGAUUUUCUGGGGAGUGUGUGUGCUAAGGUUUAUGUUUGGUGUUUUGUUUGUUUCAGCAUACUGACAAGACCAUAAAUUUGAUACUAGUUGCUCAUAAUUUGAAAAGUUACAGAAUAAAAGAUUGUUUCUUAGAACAGUCUACAGUUUGGAGUUAAGAACAGUCAUUUUUAUCCAUCUAAUGCUGUGUUUUGUUGUAGAGUUAUUGAACAUUUCAAUGCUAGAGCUGUUUCAAAUAAAAAUAUUUUUUCCUUUUUUUUCUUAGUCCAUUAGCCUAUGUGUAAUUUCAAGAGAAAAGUAAUGCAUUUCGUUCCCAGUUCACUUAAAUAAUUCCUCUUAAAUCCAGUUAUAUGUAUCUGGUUUAUAAAGCUGAAUAGGCUUUUCUUUCACUUCAUUGCUUUGUGGAAGCAAUUAAGUGCUCACUAACAGAAAAAGUGUUCAACAACAAAAAUUAAUUUUAAAAAGUCUGUGGGUUAACUUUGUGAAGGGCAGAUAUCUUAAAAAUGUUUUGCUCUGAUCUAAUGUGCUAACAAGUGUUGUGUGUGUAUGUUUGUGUGUGUGUGCACGCAUGGCACCUUUACCUGCUCAUGAAUGAAAUGCCAGCUCUGCUGAAGUAAGUGCCACAAGUCCUGUUGCUGCAAAAGAUGCUCAUGUUACUGUAUUUUUUGGUGAAAGACCUGAGCUCUGUCUUUGCUUGUGACCCUGAAGCCAUAAACAGCUUUUGAAGUUUGUCAGGAAAUUGGAAAAUUAAGUAGUUUUAUGUUGGGCUCCCUCAUUUGGCAAAAUUUGAGAUGAUCUUAUGAUUUGACUCUUUUAAUGAAAGUUAGUGGUAAAUUUCUUUCGGUGCAAUGAUAAAUGAAACCUUUGUAUUUGUUAAAGAAUGAUGGCUGUGUUUUGUUCACACACAAUUUAGCUUUAGGCUUAUAGUGUUCUUACUGUGAUGUCAUUUCUGUGUCAUUAGAAUACAUUAUUUGGACACACAACUGGCAUGGCCUUGAUUUUCCUCCAUUUCUGGAUAAUUUAUAUUUUAAAAUUGGAGAGCUUGUUCUUUGAGACAAGUGUUCAGUUCUUUAAGAAGGGGACAACAUUAUUGAAACCAUGAGAAAAUUUCAGAAUGAUAAUUUGAACACUUUUAUCAUUGCCUAAUAAUAACACUUGAAAAAGCUCUUAUUUUUGUGAACAAAAUGCAUUCAUCUGUAUUUGAAAAUAGCCAAAUAAAAAUUCAGUUGAAUACCUUGUUACUACUUGCAAAUACUUUUCUGCUAUGCUGAGUUCUUGAUCAGCUUGUGUGUAAAAAUUUUAUUGCACAGAACCCACCUGAAAUAAUGCACAGUUUUCUUCAGAAAAAUACAUGAGAUAUGAAAAAUAAUGACUUGUUCCCAGGAGUGGUUUUAUAUAAUGUGUGAAAUGCAAAAAUUAUACCAACAUGUAGACCUAAUUUAAGUGAUAAAUAUAGUUGGAAGGUAACACUGCAGACCACAGGUCUCAUUAAUCACAUGCUGUUAUAUUUGCACCUCUGCUUAACUGAGACUUCUUGCUGGAAAGUAAAUUUCAGUCUGUGUGCACACUCAUACAAUGUCAUGUAUCAUGUCUUAUUUUACUACCAAUGUCAUUGAGUGAAAUCCAAAGUGCUUGACUUUCAUAGAUUUAAAUUAAAUCUUUAGAUAAGUAUUCAAUAUUGGUUAUAAAUUGAGAUGAUGUCUCUAUAUUGUGCAGAUACUCCCAUGAGACAGCAUUUCAACACACAAUUUCAGAAAUUGUUGGCAAAUAAUUAGCACUGAAACACUUUUUCUUAGUUUAAAACCAGAGGAGGCAAUUAGAUUGUCUCAUUGAACAGGAUAAAAACUGUUUUAUUUCCAUUAUGUUCAUCCAAGCAUACUGACAAGACCAGCAGAACUUUUUCAACUAAGAUGGCUUUACAGCAACUGUUGGGUUGUUUUGUAGGUUUAUGUGUCUGUCAUGCAUAUAAGAAAUGCCUGCAGAAAGAGUUCUAGAGUAAUCGUGCAUUGUUUCAUUAGCUGGUAUCUAAAAAGCCACCUGAAACAGCCAAUAGGCUUGAAAGGAUGAGGUGUGCAAAAAAUCAAAAUGCUGACAGCUCUAGACGUGUCUUCAGGACAUAAUUUCAGUACUUUAUUUUUUUAAAAGACAAGAAUCACUAUUAUUCAAGAGAAAAAUUGGGAUGUGUUAAAAUAUCUCUUUUGUGAAAUGGAAGAAAAAGAUUACAAAACCUGGUGAUCACCAGGGUGUUAUAAAAGUGUACCUCUCCUGACAGAGUUGCCCCACGUGUCACAUAUGAGAAUGCCCAAGGGACAGAUUUUUUUUUCCUCUGAUGAGUGAUGUGCUGUGUACAUAGCAAGGCAAUGAUGCUGUUAGUAAAACCUGACCACCAGAGAGUGGUGGGGUGUUGUCUAAGGGAUGGAGGAAGGGCAGCAUCCCUGACCUGGAGCUCCCCCCAAGGGAGGAGGCUGUCACUGAGACUGGGUCUUAGAGGGAAUCUUAGAGGACUGCUGUAACUAAAUCAAUGAUUUUUAUGGUCUGGACUGUUGAAGAUUCCAUGAGGGAGGAAGCCAAAGCCAGGUGGAUGUUGUUUAAAUUACUUCUCUCUCUAGAUUCAGUAUCUUUGCAGAGCUGCCAGGAAACCAUGAAAUCUCCCCACAGUUGGGCUGAACUUCUGAAAAUACAGUUAUAAACAAGGAGUCCUGUUCGGGAGAUUCUGGAAGGAAUACAAAGAGGGCUAAGUCAUGGCAGAUGGCACAGAGACUAUUUAAGGUAUUAUUGAAGUCAGAGAACAAAUGCGUUCUGCUUAGCUAGAAAGGCUUGAGAAAGAGCGAAAGGGAAACCGCACAACGAAUCAGCAGGAUAUCAGAGGCUGCUGAGGGCAACCCAUCCUUCAGAUCGCUGAAGAUUUUUAAAGAAAAUGUAAGGAAUAAAUGUAAGACUAAAAAUAAAUUUUUAAAAAGCCCAACAAACCAAACAACUAAGCCCAGACCAACAUUAAUCAAAACAAUUCCAAGAUAUUUAAGAGAUUUCUCCAUUAAAAUAGCUGAAAGAAACAAGAAUUAAGAAAUUCUGUUUCUACAGCAGAGCAGAGGGAGAUCUGGGAGACUGUAAUGCUGAAAAAUAAUCAAGGAAAACAGAAACACUUAGAAGAAGCUGUAGGAACAAAAUUGUCAUAAUAUUUUUAUUCUGCUUGUGCUAUGGAAGGACUUUUGCAGAUUCUCACACAUAAAUUUUUGUGGGGGAGCUCACAUGGAGUCAUGGUUUGUCAGGUUGAGGUGGUACAAAACAAAAUGAGGGGAUAUACACCUAAGAUUUUUAAAGACAUUCAGGGAUGAAGUAGCCAAAUGGUACCUGUGGCAUGAAAUUCAUUGUUUAAAGCUAUUUUGAUAGCUUUUGAGAUGUUGCCAGUUUUAGAUAGGAAGAGUAUGAUCCUUUAAAUCAGUACCUGGCAAAGGGGUUCAAAUAAUAAUAAUAACUUUCUAGAAACAGCUAGAAUGCUCUAACAGUGUCAGUAUUACCAAACACCACAGGAAAUUGCACAGAUGGCUAAGAGAAAACACAGAGGAAACUGCAACUGGCUAAGAGGAAAGUUCCUGCAUUCAUAAAAAGGUUUACAAAAUAUUGGACAAAAUAGUGAUUUUUGUAUCAGUUUUCAUAGGCAACAGAGGCCAAGAGUGAAAUUUCAGGGGACAUAUUCUGUGAUCCAUGUGUCUCAAAAUAUAUUUUAACAUGUGAAUAUGCUGGAAAAAUAAUGUAUAAUUAUUUGGUAAAUUUGGUGACCAUACUAAGUUAUUGAAGGUGUUAAAUAGGAGUGGCCUGAAUGACUGGUUAUGAAAAUUAAAAAUUUAAUUCGUGAAGAUAAAUGUAAACUGAUGUGAAAGCAAUUUUAUAUUUUUACAUAUUUCACUUAGGUGUAUAUUUAGCAGUUCUUGUGCUUAGGAGGUCAGAAAAAAAUACAAGUAUGCAGUUAAAAAUUAGCAGGAGAGCAGCAGAGAAAAUAAGUGAACAUUAAAUACAUCGUUGUAUCAAUCAAUAGAUGUUCAGUAGCCUAAUAUGAUAUUUAAUGUUUUGAAUACUUGCCCAGUUCCUUGACUAUAAAACAAAGAAACAAAAAUGUGAUCAAACUGAAAAAGCUUCAGAGAAUGAAUGAAAAGGUAGAAAAAUAAAAUUAUACAAUUAGAUUCUGUGAAGUGACAGCAGGCAACAAUUCUUCUGCUCAACAGAGGAGUGAAAGAGAAGCAGAGUGGCAGGAUCUCGUGAAUGACAUCAAGUGUGCAGUAGCAGGGGACAUCAAACAAAUCUAGCCACUAGGAAGCUCAAAAAUAACACAAAAGUGUUUAAGUAAUGUGGAGGGAAGCUUUGGUACUCUCACUCAAAACAUACUGCAUAUGCUGAAAAUCUAUGGGAAAUAGGGGCUGUGAGAAGAAAAGGAAAAAUAGUAAUUGAGAGUCACUAAAUUAAGUGAUCCUGAUUUUGCCUCAGUGAAGACCCAUUGAUGUCAGGGUGAGUAUAAUGAAGAUUUUCUACAUGUGUGUUCUGGAUCACUAUCAGCUGCUUUUGUGGCUCACAUAUAUCAUUUACAUAAACUGAAAACAGGAAGCAGAAAAUUCUGCUUUUGUGGUGUAUACUGUGUACUUUAUAGAAGUACAAACAAAUUAGCAAAACCAGCCAGGGCUUUUCAUAUGGAGAGCACAAAAAAAAAAAAAAAAAUCCGUAAGACAGGUAAGGGAUGAAGUUCUGGGAGUUAUGUAAUUAUCAACAAUUCACAUGUUCAGUAAUGUGUUACAUUGAGGUUUAUCUAUGAGAUUUAAAUAGGCAUGUGUUGUUGUUAAGAGAACUAAUGUCAAGCAAGAGAUUAAUGUUUCAGGAAGUAAAACAUCUCUCAGUCUUUUGAUUAGUGCUGAUUAUGUAUUUCUUUAAAAGAAACAUGUGUCUGUUUAUUUGUUUCCUAGCUCACUGAAAUAAAUGUCCUUUUCCAAUAAAUGUAGUUGCUUUGCAAGUUGUGAAUGGAAACCACCUGGAUAAUCAGAGUGAAAAGCUUUGAAUUUGAGAAUCUGAGCCCCAUAUUGAUCAAACUCCCUUUGAAUUAUCUACAUUUGGAUAGUUGGAGAGUUUUUGCACACUUCCACUAAACUGAUAGCAAUUGGGCAUAUGACAAACCCCUUGUUUAUAGUGGAGACUUCGACACUUUAUUUUGUUAGAGAUAUUAAUGCCUAGAAUUUAUUACUAG